rnacentral:lncRNA from 1 species
GCUCCCGCAGCAUAUGGAGGUUCCCAGGCUAGGGGUCGAAUCGGAGCUGUAGCUGCCAGUCCACGCCAGAGCCACAGCAACGUGGGAUCCAAGCCGCGUCUGCAACCCACACCACAGCUCACGGCAAUGCCGGAUCCUUAACCCACUGAGCAAGGGCAGGGAUCGAACCCUCAACCUCAUGGUUCCUAGUCGGAUUCAUUAACCACUGCGCCACGAUGGGAACUCCUCUAUUUUUAAUGUUUUGAGGAACCUCCAUAUAUCUUUCUAUAGUGGCUGAACAAAUUUACAUUACCAUCAGUAGUGUACUAGAGCUCCCUUUCUUCCACAUCUUCACCAGCAUUUGUUUUCUCUUGUCUUUUUUUAUAAUAGCCAUUUUAGCAGGUGUGAGGUGAUAUCUCAUUAUGGUUUUGAUUUGCAUUUCCAUGAUGAUUAGUGUUGUCGAGCACCUUUUCAUGUAUUUGCUGGCAAUUUGUACGUCUUCUUUGGAAAACUGGCCAGAUUCUUUGCACAUUUUUUAAUCAGAUUGUUUUUUGCUAUUGAGUUAUAUAAGUUACUUACAUAUUUUGGAUGUUAACCUCUUAACAGGUAUACAGUUUGUAUUUUCUCCCAUUCUGCAGUUUCUCUUUUUUUUGCUGGUUUCUUUUGAUAUGUAGAAACUUUUGAGUUUGCUGCCGUCAUACUUGUUUAUUUUUGCUUUUGUUGCUUGUGCUUUUGGUAUCAUACCGCACCCCCCCCCCAAAUCAAUGCCAAGACCAGUGUCAAGGACUUUUUCCCUACAUUACUCACUUAGGGCUUAUACAGCUACAUUAGCUUGUUUUAGAAGUUAUUUGCUCAAUGGUUUAUUUGAAUUUCAUCUUCAGAAAUGAACAAUUUGUAGUUGACAAGGAAAAGGAACCAAAAAACACUUUAGUAUUCCAAACUACUAUAUUUUAAAUAUAUUCACAUUAUGAGGACUGACUGUUCUCUGAAAAGCACCAAGUCUUUCACCUCCCUAGUAUGUACGCAUACUUAUUUCUCAGCUAAAAUGGUUCAAUAGAGCCAUUCUUAUUCCCUUGAAAUACUCCUUCCCCUACUACCAGCUCAAUUCUUUCUAUUUUUCAUAUGCAGUGCUCUGAAUUUUCUAAAGCUUCUCUGCCGCUGACUACCUUAUCUCUCUUUUUGGACCAGUUAAGACAUAUGAAUAAUUAUUUAACUAUAAAAUCAUCAAUACUCUCUAAAUAACUGCCUAAACAAUUUAGCUCAGGAGUACCUUUAUUUUUGCAUAUAUUUAUAUUACAUUCUCAGAAGAAGCCAUCGUUUCCCUUUGAAAAAAAUACUUCAGUCACAUAAAAAGAAAACUAAAAUGUCCUCUGUAGAGUGAAGAGAACAAGAAAAGAAACUCUGAAUAUAGUACUGAAUUUUCAUUAUUUUUUCUUUCACAAAAAUAUUUUUUGAGUGUCUAAUAGGUGCUAGUCACUGUUCUAAGAGCUAAUGACAUGGCAAUAAAUAUAAAAGAUGGGAGAUUUGCCAUGAAGGAGCAUGUAUACAUGCAUACAUACAUAUCUAUAACAGAACACCAGUCUGCAAUAAAAAGAAAGAGCAGAGUAAGAUGACAAAGAGUGAUUAUUCUUCAUGCAUCCUUCUAAGUCCUGCUUGACUCCUCCAUUUUCCUGUUUUUCACUGGUCACAAAGAGCUAACUCUCAUGUUCUUUGGAAUACAUUAUCAAGCCCACAUAUGGCUGGCCAGAAAGGCAAAUUCCACGUCCUGUGAUAUGGCAUUGCAUCUAAAUCCAUAAGUCAGCAGAGAUGUAGACCUGAUAGAAUUUUUUAGACUUCUGUUAGCUCUAGAGGCUCAAUAAAGAUGAUGGUAGUGUGGCAUGGUUCAGGAGGUGGGUGGCAUGCAUCUUUAGAACAAAGGAAAUAAUCAAGGGACUCUUAGGAGACAUAAUUUUAUGUUCCAUGUAGAAUAUUUACUGAAAUGGAGAAGGCUGCAAGAGGGAUUUGGGUGAGAAAUUAGAGUUCCAUUUUGGACAUAUUAAGUUGAGAUGCACUUAAUAUAGCCAAUGGACAUGGAGAAUAGGCAGUUGAAUAUUUGAGUUUGGAAUUAAAUGGAGAGGUUAAAACUAAAAAUAAAAUGGGGCAUGUUGCUGUAUAUGGCAUCUAAAGCCAAUUGAAUUGGAUGAGAACAUUUAGGGAGAAAGUAUGAAAUGAUGAGCACUGAGCCAUGGGUAUUAAAGCCUUGUGAGGAUGGGAACCAGGCCAGCUUAAUGCACACACAACUUGUGUGGUCACACAGGAGGACCCUGUGCUUAAAAGGCCCUAUGCUUGGUUUAAUUCACUGUUCACACUUACUUGAAAUUCCUAAUAAUUUUUAAAUACAGGCCCUGCAUUUUAAUUUUGUACACACACUACAAAUUAUCUCGCAGGCCCUGGUUGGGAACAUAAGGAUUGGGCAUAGUCAAGAGCCAAUGAAGUAGACUGAAAACCAAGCAGUGUGUUAGUGUUGUCAUAAAAGCCAAGUGAAGAAAGUGUAUAGGGGUGAACAGAGUGAGUAACAGUCUCAAAAGCUGCUGCAAGUUAAUGUUAUCCUUGGCCUGAACUCUGAUCACUGGAUUUUGUAACUUCAGUGUGAUGGUUGCCCAGGAUGAACCGGGUUGUAGAGAGAAGAGAGGAGGAUAAGAACAAGCAAGCACUUUUCCUGUCCAUAGGAAAGCUUAAAACUGGGGGAGGAGCCAAGAGAGACAAGGCUUUUCUAAAAGGGAUAUUAUUAUGGCAUAUUUUUUUUUCUCUUGAUAAUGACUCAGUAAAAAAGGAAGGGAAAUGAUAACGCAAGGGUGGAAAUAAUUACAGAAACAGAAUUGUUUAUUUGUUUUAAUGACCACACCUGUGGCAUAUGGAAGUUCCUGGGCUGGGGAUUGAACCUGUGCCUCCACAGCAACCCAAACUGCUGCAGUCAGAUUCCUAACCCACUGUGCCACAGUAGGAACUCCAGAAGCAAAGUUUUUGAAACUAGAAGGAUGGGAUCUAGUGCUAAGUGGAAGGUUUGUCCUAAGAAGGCAAAGUGCAAUGGACAGCACCUGUGCCUAGAGCACUUUGUAGAAAGAUCUGAACUGACUGCUUCUGUAUAAGAGUCAAAGUCUUCAGUUGAAAUUGGAAGUGAAGAGGGGGUGUUGAGGUUUGAGGAAAGAGAAAAGAGUGUGAAACCAUCCUCUAAGAGGAUGGGUAAGUGGAUGGGCCUAGAACUGACAGGAAGGACUAAGGUCCACUGAAGGGCUCAGCUACAUGAAAAUAUAUACCGCCAGUAAAGCAUGCUGAAAUAUUCAAGCCAGCUAUCUCUGGUGAUGGUUUCUUCUUUGCAACCUUCUGAAUCUCCAAAGUUUCCCUAACAGACAUAUAUCACUUUCACAAUUAGCCUUCUAAAAUUGUUAUGGAAGGGUGAAGAGAAGCACAUUAAUAUAUGAGGGAGGUGCUUAUGAUUUGUGGGAAGUGAGUGGGGAAUCAAAGAGAACAGACAUGUCAUUCUGGCUGCCUCUAAAAGCACUGCCCUGGACUAGAUGAAGAGCAGUCCAACUUUAUGCAGAAAUGAGGAACAAGAAAAAUAUCUUUGAUCCUUUCUUAGGCCUUCAGGUUUACUCUAUGUCGAGGCUUGAGCCACUGAUUAUAUUUCUCAGUUGGGUUUGAAAGUCCUACUGGUGGAUAUCUUCCCCAGUGCUGGCACCAGGUUGGCUGCUGUUCUUGGUUUUUUCAGAAAUGAUGUACGCUCUCACCCUGCAUCUUCAUGACUGUUUUGAUGGGAAGCUGGGGAGGCUCUGUAAAGGAUGAACCAGCCACCUCUUAUACCAGAAAGUCAUUAAUAUUUUAAGUUUUCUUGCUUGUUAAAAUGGUUAAAAGUAUCUAUCUCUUCUCAGAAGUUGAAGUCCUUGACAUCUACUCUUGGAGUGUCCUUAGUCAUUUUUAUUUGUCAUCUUAUCAGUUUUGCCUGCUAUUUUUUAAAAGUGCAAAUUAAGACCAUUGUUCCAAAAAGGAAUUUCAGAGAUAGUACAUUGUUAUGAAGGGGUUGUUACUAAUUCCAAAACAUUUUCACUCUCUUAGACCCUGUAAUAUUAUCUCAUAUGUGCUUUUAAUUUUAUCCAUGAUAGAUGGGGUGGUGAAUGGGGAAUUUCAGGGCAACAUUUUUGACCACGUUCCUCUGAGAAAUUUACCCUCAUAUUUCUUCUAAAAUCUUUAUUGAGAUAAUAAAUCUCGGCUCUCAGGACAAGAUGUGGGAAUUAGAUCCUAUGACUGUUAACACAUCCCAUGGAGCUCAGCUGUGUGGAUGCAGAGGCAGUAACUCUGUGUGAGGUGCGAGGUAGGGUGUGUUUUUGGAACCCUGAGUGUGGUGAGCUGAAGAUUUAAGAGCCAAUGGCAGUUGUGGAAGCCAAGUCCAGGGUUUUACAUUAGGAUAAAAUGGGAGGGGUGGAUAUUUCUCUUGUGGUGGAAAUAAUUAACUUAACAAUAUGUAUUUGGAUUAUGUCGCCCUUCAUGAAAUGCAGAAACUCAGUGGUGAAUUUCUGUCAUAAUGAAUUUCUCACAUAAUAAGCCUCCUAUAUAAAUGUACUUGUUCUUUGUAUUCAUAUGUGAAUGUAAAUUCUUAAAAGGACAGUUAUUUUAAUAUUAGUUUAUUUUCAUUGCUAUUGAGAAAAAAGAUAAAAUAGAUGAAGAGUACUGUAUGAGCAGUGGAUCUAAUUAUAAAAACAUAAUGGAACUUUGGGUGAUGUUAAUGUUUAUCUACAAAUCAAUUGAAGAGAAUUAUUUACAGCUAGGCGUUUCUUUUCAUGAAAGAUUGUGUAUGAUUUACAUUAUAUGGACUAAAAUGGGGAGGUGGAUCAUUGUGGUUAUUAUGGGUGAAAAACUCAAGAUAUGCUUAGAAGCAGAUUUUUAGAACCGUAAGAGGAAGGGAUCAAAGAGCAGUAUGAUCAGUAUCUCACUAGACAAUGACUAGAGUUGUUUUGGAAGGUGUUGAAAGAUGAAAGACAAGGAAAUAAACCCUUAUUGCCUGGAACUCCUGGCAGUCAAGCAAGCUUAAAUUGGUAUCUUUGAGAGUCAGUAAGUCUCAUUUACCUUAUUUGUGCAAUGAAAACAAUACCUACAUGAUAGGUGGUGGUAUUUAAAUAAGAAAACACACACACAUACACAUCUUGGUUAUGUGACAAGUUUAAAACAUUGUAGUUUUAUCGUUAGGUCCCUUAGAGAUGGCAUCUAUGGCCAAAGGGUCAUAAAAACUAGCCCUUGAGAAUUAGAAGAUACCCCAACUUUGGGAACAACAUAUGAGUUCAAGCACCUAUAGUAUCUGUGAGGCUGUCUCUCCUUUCUUCACUGGCAAAACUAGGAUUCUGUUAUGAUUGUAGGACCUCUUUUCAUACCCACAAUCCUAGAUGCUUUGGGACACCUGCAGAGAGGUUGCAGAUUUUGUCCAACACUGAUAAUUAACCUCUCCUUUUUCACAGCCAGAAUAGAGCACUGACCUCAGCCUUUUUUCGGGGCAGUGGGGGAGCAGAGUAAGGGAGGUGGUGCUUCUCAUCAGGAGAUGACUCUACUUAAGUCAUAGAAAACCUUGCCAGUUUGGGUGGAGGAUAACCACAGGUCCUGCAUGGCUGGUCAGGGAAUCAGUCACUGGCUCUGCUUCAGCCAUCCAGGAGUCUGGUGGUUGAGGAAGAUCACAGGGUGAUCUGAUAGAGGACUUGCAGAAGAAGAGGAAUAAGUCCAUCUCUCUCAGACUCAUUAUAGUCCCCUAAAGCAUUAGUGACAUUUUUGUUUAAUACUGAUACAGGGAAAACUUUAGUUCAUUGACCUUAGAAAUAAUUACAGCUUUUUGGCAAGCUUUUGUUCGUGGAAACUGGAAGCACUUCCAAACACUUUAAUGAUGCUUAUUAUCUUAACCAGCACCUGUCCUUUACCCUCCCUUGAAUACUCCAAAAAAAAAAGUUAACUAAAAGAGAGAAUGAUUCAUUCCAUACCCUGAUGUUUUUUUAUGACCACAGCUGUGGCCACUUCAGUGUCCAGCAAAUUGUUUCUUUGGCGAGUGACCUAGGGAGGGGCGGAAAGUGGAGUGGAAGAGGCCUCUGGAAAGUCUUUAACAGUGGGGCGUAUUCUCUCCUAGUUGACUCCAAGAAAUUCCCACUCAUGGAAUCUGGCCUAUCAUAAAUAACUUUUCUUUUCUAUACUUGAUUCAACUUAAUAAAUCAUGUCAGCAAACUAUGGUGAAUGAUGACUGUUCUUCACUCAACAGAACAAUAGCCUUCCAAGAUGAAGCUCUGGGAGGGUAGCCAUCUAUCAGUUCCAGUGUCCUCCUGGUGGGCACAGUCUUCUAUCUCAGUUGGCUGGUUCCUCUUGUUCAUGAACUGCCUUUGUUGGCCUUAAUUCUAAAAUAGCAUCUCUUUAAGAUGCAGGAAAGUGACAUUUGCCAUUUGUCAUCAAAGAGGAAAAUUCUCAAUGAGAUUUUCUUUUUAGAAACUCAUCUUUUAAAAAAUCAUGUCCAAGCUAGCAACAUUUAGAAAAUCCAGAAGCUCCUUUUUUUGUUUUUGUUUUUGUUUUAAAAAUAACUUUGUCCUGGAGUUCCCAUUGUGGCUCAACAGUAACAAACCUGACUAGUAUCCAUGAGGAUGCAGGUUCAAUCCCUGGCCUCG